GAAAUUGCCUAAUGGAGCUGCAGAUAUGAUGUAUCUUGAGCUUAGUACAACUUCGGUAUUGUCACGUCAAUUCUCAGAAUUAAGCUGGAGAAAUCAGUGAUGACGGGACUGCUGACAGUUUAUUUUAACCUCAUCUAAGAGAUUGCCUGUCUGUCUACCUGACAGGAAAGCAAGGUCUACCUUGUGUACCCAUCAGAAGAAUAUCCACAGUACCCUAACCUGAUAGUUAUGACCAGUCAGCCCCUGAAGCUGUACAUUCCCUGCUGUUCUAUGAUACGUUGUAAGCACAGAUCAUGAUGUUCUACAGAAAUGGUGCUGCAUUCUGGAAAGUGCAUGAAAAUGCACCACGAUUACAUAUGAGUUGCCAGUUUGCUACUAAUUUACCUGAGCAGCAACAUCUCUAUUGUUUUGCUCUGUGAACGCAGAUGUAGAAAUCAUGACAGUCUGCCUUCCAGAAUUUCAAGAAAAAGUUAAUAGUUGGCUAAACUUCUUCCUUGCAGCUUGUCUAUUAGGAGUUUUGAGGGUUUCAUUGAAUAAGCAGCAGCGAGGCAAAUUGCAUUACAAUGUCGUACAUGCAUUCUUUCAUUUAGGGAAGAAAGGCUGAGGAAGGACUAAGACUUAAGAAAGGCUCGCAUGUCCUGACAUUUCCAGUAAAUGCAUCAGUUUUUACAGAAAACUGCUGGCAUCUUACACUAUACACUAUAUGGAAAGAAGAAAAAUAUACAAGUAACAUUAGGAACCAACUUUUUCUACAUAGUAAAAUAUGAAUUAGAGUUAGUACAGGAUAAACACUAAAAUAUGAAUUUUUCACAGAUCUCUAAUUUAAAGUAAGUGUGAAUUUGACAUAAAAUGAUUUAGAAAUUCUCUUCAAGGGAGUAUCCAUAAAUCCAAAUAGAAAGAUUUGAACUUGAGAGAGUGGGAUUCUUAGAACUGUCUACAAUCAUUAUGAUUUUAGAAAAUUUCAUAAUAAUGUCCUUUCCUCAGUGUAUUUUCAGUAAAAGUUAGAUGUCACAGAGGUAGACAAUGUACUUGAAGACUUUUUAAGUUUAAUACUGAAGAAAAAGUAAUUUUGGACAUUAUUUUAUAUGAACAAGUUACCCAUUCACCUCGACUUUAGACAAACCAUGCCUAAUAGCUAGAGUCCCAGCUGAUGUAGUGUGCUGUAAUCCUAACCUGUUUUCCUUCAGCUGAGACCUCAGCUCUGAAACUGUAGUGUUCAAGACAAUUUCUGUUACCACCCCUAUUUUAUUAAAUGCCUGGAGGUUUUAACGCUUUAUUUGCAGACAUUUAAUACAGGUUGAAUCUGAAUGUUAUUUUUUUAACGGAGAGUCAUUGUUUUAAAUGAGUCAUACAUUGAAACUAUCUACCAGGAGUCCAAGUAUUAAUUAAAAAGAAUAUGCCAAAGUCAGUGGCAGAAAAAUACCAUAAUGAUGAACAAUUAUUGAAGGAUAAGAUCCUUUUCUGGCAGAAAAUACAUUCCUUGGAUUUUCUUGUCAAUGCCUAAGAGCUGCCAUAGUUAGCUGUUGGCAAUUUAAUCUCAAAUUGCAGGAGGCUUGCCAGACAGAAUUUUUAAAACUUCAGGAUUCAGAGACUUUGUACUGGAUAUGCAUCUAAAUUAAACCUAUUGGAACCUUUUACCAAAUCUUAACUGUAGAAAAUUCAGGAAAAGGCAAGAUCGUUUAUUUACCCUACAAUUUAGGAUGGUAAAACUAUUAUUUUGAAAUUAAAAUCCUUUAAUGAAUAUUUGUCACCAUUUCCCCUACACACAGACCCCAAAAUAGCUUUAGCAUUCCUUGGCACCAAGCAUCUCCCUUAUUUUAGUAGAUGAUCAUAUUUUCAUGUCAAAACAACUUGAGGAAGAAAGAACAGUACGUCCUAUGAAGUGUGUCAAAUGCAGUUCCAGUCAACAAUUCAAAUUGCAACAACCUUAUAUUAUGCUUCUUAAAACAGGUGCUUCUUUGAGCAAGUUAUUUCCCAUUAGACUAUGGAGGGGGACUUCUCAAUUGUUUUCUACGUAGUUGUGAGCACCAUCAUUGAAUUAAUCUGCCAUAUCUGCCUGAAGGCUUCCUACCAAUGCCUAGAUCCUAAUUCUGGAGUUGUAUAAAUAAGCCAUCAAGUAUUUGAAUUACUAUAGAUAUGCCUUGUUUCUGAAGGAUCAAGUUCUUUUCCCAUUUAAUGGCAAAUCUUGCCUUCAUGGGAUAAAAGCCAUAGUGUCUCUAUCAACAGUGGUAAAGGCCAUUACAGGCUAUUAGGUAGAAAUAGAUGAAGGGUGCAGUUCAAGACCAAACAUUUCCUUUGACUACUUUAUUUUGUAGUUGAAUAUUGUUCAAUAGGCAUCUGAGUGUAUCCUAUUCAGAUCGUUUUACAAUUUAGAGAGCACCCAUUUUGCAAAAGAUUGUAAAUAAUGGGAUCCAUCAUUCAGAUAAUGAUGUAACUUGUCACUUUACCUCAUGGACACCAGCAUUCCCACCUUUCCUUCUGAGGCUUUUGAAAACACUGUUUUGCUCUGAAAAAAUUCCUGUUCUGAAGAGGACACAAAGUUUCAUUGUUUUGUCCUAUGAGAUUAACUCAGUUUACAAACAGUGACCUCAGACUGCUAAGCUCUAGGACAUUGUGGGAAUUAGGUAGUUCUGAUGAACUAAUCAUUAAAGGUAACUUUUACACCUUUCCUAUAUCAUAACUGUCGAUAAGGACUCCGUCAAAAAAUUUUAGAUGACAACAUUCUUGAUGAUGGAUUACCAUUUAGAUAACAUACCUGUUGCUAUCUUGACUUUGGAAGCUCAAUAAAAGUGAAAGGUUCCUUCAUAUGACAGAGUGCAGGACGGAUCUACUGCAGACAGGUAGUCUGACUUUAAGAAGAAGAGGCUUACUUUUCUGUAAGGACCUCAUGGUCUUACCGGGCAGCAAAGUGCACUUGAGGAAACUGUGUGCCCUGACAGCAGCAAUGGCCAACAGCAUCCAGGGCUGUAUUCACAGGAGGGGAAAUAGGAGAGCAACGGAAGUGAAUAACCCCUCUACUCAGUGCGCUUGUCAGACCAUAUCUAGAUCCUGAAUCCAUUUCUGGACCCCCAUCCCCCCCCCCCCCCCCCAAUACAGGAAAGAUGGAUAAACUACAGCUAGUUCAGCAGAGAGCCACCAAGAGCUGAGGGAGCUAGGCUUGUUCAGCCUCGAGAAGGUACAGCUUUUGGGGGACCUAAUAGCAGCCUGCCAGUACCUCCAAGGAAGUCAUUAAGAAAAUGGAGCCAGGCUGUUUGUUCACUGGUGCAUGAGGGCAGGACAAGAAAGCAAGGACAUUAAGUUGAAGCAAGAGAGGUUCAGACUGAAUAUAAGGAGAAAUCAUGAGAGCAGUCAAGCAGUGGAACAGCUUGCCCAGGGAGCUUGAGCUAUCUCCAGCCUUGGAGGUUUUCGAGACGUUGAGUCAACAAAGCCCUGAGUAACCAGUUGCAUUGGGUUUUCAUGGCAAGGUUUUGGUAGCAGGGUGGCUACAGGGGUGGCUUCUGUUAGAAGCUGCUAGAAGCUUCCCCUGUGUCCCAUAGAGCCAAUGCCAGCUGGCUUCAAGACAGACCUGGCGGUGGUAAGGCUGAGCCCAUCAGAGGUGGUAGUGCCUCUGGGAUAACAUAGUUAAGAAGGGGAAAAAAAACCUGCCCCAGAGCAGCAGCUGGAAGAGAGGAGUGAGAAUAUGUGAAAGGAACAACUCUGCAGACACCAAGAUCAGUGAAGAAGAAUGGGGAGGAGGUGCUCCAGGCGCCGGAGCAGAGAUUCCCCUGCAGCCCAUGGAGAAGACCAUGGUGAGGCAGGCUGUCCCCCUGCAGCACGUGGAGGUUGAUGGAGCAGAUAUCCACCUGCAGCCCAUGGAGCACCCCAAGCUGGAGCAGGUGGAGACACCUGAAGGAGGCUGUGACCCCAUGGGAAGCCCGUGCUGGAGCAGGUUUGCUGGCAGGACUUGUGACCUCGUGGGGGACCCAUGCUGGAGCAGUCUGUUCCUGAAAGUCUGCACCCCGUGAGAGGGACUCCAUGCUGGAGCAGUUUGUGAAGAACUGCAGCCCACAGGAAGGACUCGCGUUGGAGAAGUUGAUGGAGGACUGUCUUCUGUGGGAGGGACCCCAUGCUGGAGCAGGGGAAGAGUGUGAGGAGUCCUCCCCCUGAGGAUGAAGAAGCGGCAGAGACAA